GGCUCGGCUCAUCACUGAAGAGCUCUGAGGUCCAGAAAUCCCCUUUUAUCGGUGGCAGCAGCUCAGCCCUGCUCUGAGGGCCAUCUUCUGAUGCCUUCCAAGUAUCAUAUAGUAUUUUCAACAGGAGAAGAAGAGAAAAAAAGAGUGUAGUUGUAUAGAUAAUAGAAAAUAGUCUAGUAGAUCAUCAGCUACACGAAGCCCUGAGAGAUACUUAUUAGAAAGCACUGAAUGGAAAAACUCCCCAGCAAGGGGAAGAAUGGACAGUCCUAAGAUAUGCUUCCUGGUAUUUAUCCAUAGAAGACAGGUGUGGAACUCAGCCCUCUUAGUGCUUCUGAAGACUGAAAUUCUUGAUCUUGCUCCUAUGUGAUGAGAGAGAGAAACAGGAUGAUACUGCAGU